rnacentral:tRNA from 1 species
GCGGUGUGGAGCAGUAGGAGUGCUCGCUCGAUUUUUAAUCGAGAGGCCGUUGGUUCAAAUCCAACCACCGCACCA